GAUGAACGCUGGCGGCGUGCCUAAUACAUGCAAGUCGAGCGAACAGACGAGGAGCUUGCUCCUCUGACGUUAGCGGCGGACGGGUGAGUAACACGUGGAUAACCUACCUAUAAGACUGGGAUAACUUCGGGAAACCGGAGCUAAUACCGGAUAAUAUAUUGAACCGCAUGGUUCAAUAGUGAAAGACGGUUUUGCUGUCACUUAUAGAUGGAUCCGCGCCGCAUUAGCUAGUUGGUAAGGUAACAGCUUACCAAGGCAACGAUGCGUAGCCGACCUGAGAGGGGGAUCGGCCACACGGGAACUGAGACACGGUCCAGACUCCUACGGGAGGAAGCAGUAGGGAAUCUUCCGCAAUGGGCGAAAGCCUGACGGAGCAACGCCGCGUGAGUGAUGAAGGUCUUCGGAUCGUAAAACUCUGUUAUUAGGGAAGAACAAAUGUGUAAGUAACUAUGCACGUCUUGACGGUACCUAAUCAGAAAGCCACGGCUAACUACGUG
rnacentral:rRNA from 1 species